rnacentral:ribozyme from 14 species
GCAAAGUGGGGGCAGGUAGCAAACAGGAAAAGAAAGAAGGAGUAACAAUGAUAUAUAAUGAUAUGGUGAUUGAUUGUCAUUCUUCUGGUUCUUGAUAUGUAUUAUAAUUCUUU